GGGCGGUUAGCUCAGCGGUAGAGCACUCGCCUUACAAGCGAGGGGUCACUGGUUCGAACCCAGUACCGCCCA
rfam:Microbispora rosea strain ATCC 12950 genome assembly, contig: Ga0104720_106